UGCCUGUUCAGGAGGAGAGACAGAAGAGACUUGGGCUGGAACUCACCAGAAUUCAGUUCCAACACCUUUCAAGUGGAUGCUGUUGCCAUUAUAAGAGAACAAGGGAGGCAUUCAUGCUGCAGCCAACCAUCAAAUGAGAGACAAAGGGAAAGCUGAUUGGUCCGAUCUCUCCUGGUCCCUGAUUUGUCUAGUCUC